AAACUAACAAGGAUUCCCCUAGUAACGGCGAGUGAAGCGGGAAGAGCUCAAAUUUGAAAUCUAGUAGCCUUCGGCUGCUCGAGUUGUAAUCUAUAGAAAUGUUUUCCGUGCUUGGCUCAUGUACAAGUCCCCUUGGAAACAGGGCGUCAAUAGAGGGUGAGAAUCCCGUACUUGACAUGAAUACCCAGUGCUCUGUGAUACAUUUCAAAGAGUCCGAGUGUUUGGGAAUGCAGCUCAAAAUGGGUGGUAAAUUCCCAUCUAAAGCUAAAUAUUGGCGAGAGACCGAUAGCGAACAAGUACCCGUGAGGGAAAGAUGAAAAGCACUUUGGAAAGAGAGUUAAACAGUAUGUGAAAUUGUUAAAAGGGAAACGAUUGAAGUACAAUCAUGUCACUUGGGUCUUACCACCCUUGGAUGGGGUCAACAUCAGUUUUGAUCGAUGGAUAAGGAUAGGAGGAAGGUAGCACUCUCGGGUGAACUUAUAGCCUCCUGUCGCAUACACUGGUUGAGACUGAGUCUGCUAUUACAGGAUGUUGACAUAAU
rnacentral:rRNA from 1 species